GACGGAGGGUGCAAGCGUUGUUCGGAAUUACUGGGCGUAAAGCGCGGGCAGGUGGCCUUUUAAGUCCUUUGUGAAAUUCCGGAGCUCAACUCCGGAUGUGCAUAGGAUACUGGAAGGCUAGAGACUGGUAGAGGCGAGCGGAAUUCCUGGUGUAGCGGUGGAAUGCGUAGAUAUCAGGAGGAACACCGAUGGCGAAGGCAGGUCUCUGGGCAUUAACUGACGCUGAGGAGCGAAAGCAUGGGGAGCGAACAGG
rnacentral:rRNA from 1 species